CCAACCAAAGAUUGCCAUAUGGA
rnacentral:siRNA from 1 species